CACGUAGGGCGCAAGCGUUGUCCGGAAUUAUUGGGCGUAAAGAGCUCGUAGGCGGUCUGUUGCGUCCGCUGUGAAAACUCGGGGCUUAACCCCGAGCCUGCAGUGGAUACGGGCAGACUAGAGUGUGGUAGGGGAGACUGGAAUUCCUGGUGUAGCGGUGAAAUGCGCAGAUAUCAGGAAGAACACCCGUGGCGAAAGCGGCUCUCUGGAACGGUACUGACGCUGAGACGCGAAAGCGUGGGGAGCGAACAGG
rnacentral:rRNA from 1 species